CAUUGGGGCGAACUAAACCCAAGGGCGUAGUGAAAGCGAAGGACACGUUGGUGUCUUAGGGACGAUCCCCCUCGGGGGCGCAGUCUCGGCGCUUUGCAUCGACCUCGCAUCGUGCAGAGCAGCAAGAGCAUACACGUUGGGACCCGAAAGAUGGUGAACUAUGCCUGGCCAGGUUGAAGUCAGGGGAAACCCUGAUGGAGGACCGUAGCGAUUCUGACGUGCAAAUCGAUCGUCGGAGCUGGGUAUAGGGGCGAAAGACUAAUCGAACCAUCUAGUAGCUGGUUCCUUCCGAA
rnacentral:rRNA from 1 species